UACAGAGGGUGCGAGCGUUACUCGGAAUUACUGGGCGUAAAGCGCACGUAGUCGGCUUUGCAAGUCGGGUGUGAAAUCCCCGGGCUCAACCUGGGAACUGCAUCCGAGACUGCAUUGCUAGAGUAUGGGAGAGGGAAGCGGAAUUUCUGGUGUAGCAGUGAAAUGCGUAGAUAUCAGAAGGAACAUCAGUGGCGAAGGCGGCUUCCUGGACCAAUACUGACGAUCAGGUGCGAAAGCGUGGGGAGCAAACAGG
rnacentral:rRNA from 1 species